CCCUGGUUAGCUCAGUUAGCAGAACGCUCCACUGCAAAUUGAGGUCCCGGGUUCGAUACCCGGACCAGGCG
rnacentral:tRNA from 2 species